rnacentral:rRNA from 1 species
GGGCCCGCACAAGCGGUGGAGUAUGUGGUUUAAUUCGAUGCAACGCGAAGAACCUUACCAGGGUUUGACAUCCUGCGAAUCUCUUGGAAACAGGAGAGUGCCUUCGGGAACGCAGUGACAGGUGGUGCAUGGCUGUCGUCAGCUCGUGUCGUGAGAUGUUGGGUUAAGUCCCGCAACGAGCGCAACCCACGUCUUUAGUUGCCAGCAUUUAGUUGGGCACUCUAGAGAGACUGCCGGUGAUAAACCGGAGAAGGUGUGGAUGACGUCAAGUCAUCAUGCCCCUUACAUCUGGGCUACACACGUGCUACAAUGGCCGGGACAAAGAGAUGCAAUCUCGCGAGAGCAAGCUAACUCAAAAACCCCGGUCUUAG